UACGAAGGGUGCAAGCGUUACUCGGAAUUACUGGGCGUAAAGCGUGCGUAGGUGGUUCGUUAAGUCUGAUGUGAAAGCCCUGGGCUCAACCUGGGAAUGGCAUUGGAAACUGGCGACCUAGAGUGCGGUAGAGGGUAGUGGAAUUCCCGGUGUAGCAGUGAAAUGCGUAGAGAUCGGGAGGAACAUCUGUGGCGAAGGCGACUGCCUGGACCAGCACUGACACUGAGGCACGAAAGCGUGGGGAGCAAAAGGG
rnacentral:rRNA from 1 species